rnacentral:rRNA from 1 species
GAGCGGACCGAAGGGAGCUUGCUCCUUUAGGUUAGCGGCGGACGGNUGAGUAACACGUGGGCAACCUGCCCUGCAGACUGGGAUAACUUCGGGAAACCGGAGCUAAUACCGGAUAACACCGAAAACCGCAUGGUUUUCGGUUGAAAGGCGGCAUUAGCUGUCACUGCAGGAUGGGCCCGCGGCGCAUUAGCUAGUUGGUGAGGUAACGGCUCACCAAGGCGACGAUGCGUAGCCGACCUGAGAGGGUGACCGGCCACACUGGGACUGAGACACGGCCCAGACUCCUACGGGAGGCAGCAGUAGGGAAUCUUCCGCAAUGGACGAAAGUCUGACGGAGCAACGCCGCGUGAGCGAAGAAGGUCUUCGGAUCGUAAAGCUCUGUUGUCAGGGAAGAACAAGUGCCGUUCGAACAGGGCGGUACCUUGACGGUACCUGACGAGGAAGCCACGGCUAACUACGUGCCAGCAGCCGCG